GGACAGGUUUUCAGGCCCACACCAGAGCCUGGCACCUCCACAGGCAGGGUCGGAGAAGGGGCCUUUGGCACUGUCCUCAGGCCUGGGGCAACAGACACUCGAUUGGGUCUGGAACAGUGUGGUCAGGCCAGGGGAGCGCUCAGUAGGAUGCUCACUCUUUGGCCUUCUGACGCUUCUGAUCUCUGCUCUGGGCUGAUCACUAGAGGCUCCCCCCUCCACGGACCCUGUCGUGGGCUGAGUUACAUCCCUCAGAAAGACAUGUUGAAAUCCCAACUCUCUGUGAAUGUGGCCUUACUUGGAAAUAGAGUUUUUGCCACAUGCCAAUGAAGUAGAAACUCCAUCACCAGGAGCUAGGGAGCGGCAAGGAAGGUUCUACUCGUGCUCAGAGGGAGCACGGCCCUGCUGACACCUUCAUUUCUGACUCCUCACCUCCAUGACUGUAAGAGAAGGGAUUUCUGUUGCCUUAAGCCACCCCAGUUUGGGCAGCUUUGUCAUGGCCAAUGCCCCAAGCUCUGAAGCCUAGCUCCGCUCCACCACCUCUAUCCAUCCCACUGGGGAUAGACUUGACAAUCCCCGCUGGAGAAGGAGGCCUGUUGGGGUGGGAGGAGGUCCAAGGGUGUGCUGAACAUGAGGGAGAAAGACAAGGGACGUGCUAUCUCCUGGCAGGACCUCCGCCCUGGGAGGGGUCCAGGGAAGGUAAAAUCCUGUGAGCAGAGGAAGUCUCAGAUCCUUUCGAGCCACGGCCUCUGAAAUGGCUGGGCCUAGAAGAGAAUCAAAUCUCCUCUCUGCUUUUUUGAAAACACUGGAGUUCCUGCCAACAGAAAAAAAAAAAAAAAAGAAGAAGAAAGCCCCCAACACACCUAUUUCCACCUCCGCAUGUUGAUAACCGCAGUGUCCUGCAGAUGACCACCCCCGGCCUCCCCUCCGAGCUCACACUGGGCUCAGCAGGACCCUCUCGUUAGGCUGUAGCCAUGAACCUCCAAGUCCAGAGACUUGCAGUUAUUUCUACUUUUCCAGCAGCAGGAAGGAAAAAAACAACUUGGAUCUGAAAAGCAGAGGGAGAAUUAAGAAUGUACCUCGGCCCCAGGCAUCCGUUUUUUUUUUUUUAACCACUAACUGGGCAAUGAAUAAUUUAUAGCCACGAAUGUUUGUGGGGGUAUAAAACUGUUGACAAGUCAAGAAAAACCUCUUAGCAGCCUGAUGGAGCAAUCCAUCUUCGAGAAACAGGUUUCAAAUGCAUAGUUUGUGAAGAUGCUGGUGGAGGUUGUUUCCCUUCUUUCUUGUUUUUUUUUUCUUUUUUUAUCUAUAUGGAAAUUGGUGGGUGCUGAAAUAUGUUUCACUUCAGCACGAACUUGGGCUGAAUGAUAUCCCAGGCAAGAAUUAAAUCAUCGCUUCAUAGAGCAAGAAAUAAACACCCAAGAAAACCAGGACCCUCAGCAUGCAGGAGGGGAGCAGGAGACUUCCAGAAAGUUGAGCAAACCAUUGCAAUUCCAGGCAGGACGCCAUGCAGAGCUUGGGCUCAGACUCACUGGACCAGGGGAUGACUAGAUCCGGGGAACAUUCCUCCAGGAAGCCCCCAGCAAAACAGGGGGGAUUGUACAACUGAGGCCUCCCAUCCCUGAAGUGUGGGCAUCCUCUCGAGGUCCUCCCAGGUCUGGGCACCCAGAGGUGCCGGGUGGAUGUCGUGAAAACAGUGGCUACCAUGGAGACAAUGAGGCUGAGAAUCUCGAUAGCUACAGGGUCAAGCUUGCAUCAAACACCAGCCAUGUGCCACCACCCAAGGUCCUCUUGCUCAGUCGGCACAUCGGCUCUCUGGCUGGUGCUGCCUGGCCAGUCUGAUCACUCCAUGGCUCCCCUCUUUGCUAGGAGGGCUCCUUGGGAACUGGGAGUUCUUGUAUCUCUGUUAAAAGCCACAUGGCUACAAGGCAGCAGAGCCUGGCCUUGAAGCCGUGUCUUACCCACAUGCUUAUUCACCUCCUCUGGUCUGAUGGAGGCUGACUUGGUGUUGCAGAGAGUGGCAGGCAUUAAGUUGCACCCCCUCCUAUUCUCUGACCAAGGUUAGGGUGGCAGGCUGAGACCCAAGUGUAGACCACAGCCACAUGGCUCCCCUGGGCACAGGAUAUGGGAGGUCGACGCCAUUAAUCAGGAUGGUGUCAGUUACUCACUGCUUCGUAACAAAUGACCCCCAUACUCAAUAGCUCCAAACAUUAACUACCUCACAGUUUCUGUGCAGCAGGACUUUGGGGGCAGCUACCUGAGUGGUCAGGCUCGAGGUUGCUCACAAGUCUGGAACCAAGGCGUCUGCCAGGGCUGCAGCCAUUUCAAGGUUCAACUCACCCACAUGGUGGCUGGCGAGAGUCUGCUCCUCACAAGUUGCUGGACUCUUAUCUGGGCUCCUCACUGGCUGUUGGUUGGAGAUGUCCCUCAGUUCUUGGCUACGUGGGCCUCCCCAUAGGGCAGCUCGCCACGUGGCGGCUGGCCUGCCUCAGAGCCGGUAGAGAGCAAGAGAGGUGAGCAUAAGGGAAGCCAGAGUCUUUUAAAAGGAAAUGUAAGCUCAAAGUGACACCCCAUCAGAUGCACCUUGUUCUUUCAGAAGAAGAAAGUCACUGUGUCUGGUCCACAGUCAAGGGGAGGGCAUCACAUGAGGACAUGAUGGCUGGGAUCACGGGCAGCCGUCUUAGAAGCUCAGAAGAACCACAGUAAUCAACUGUAUUAGUAUCUUCUGUUGCCUAACAAAUUAUCUUGAAGCUUAGUGGCUCAAAAUAGCAAUCAUCGCUUCCUGUUUCUCACAGUUUCUACGGUCAGGAACACAGGAGCAGCAUGGCUACGCAGUUGUGUCUUGGGUUUUCUCAGGGGACUGCAGGUGGAUGGCAGUGAGGACCCUGUCCCCUGAAGGCCUGACAGGGACUGGAGGACCCGCUUCCACAUGGGCAGCCCAUGCGGCCAGCAAGUUGGCACUGGCUGCUAAUGGGGCCAUCAGUCCCCGUCCGCCCCCCACACACACACAGGCCUCCACACUCAGAUGUGCCUGAGUGUCCUCACAGUAUGGCGGCCGGCUCGCCAGUGGUGUACAAACCCAGGAGACCAAGCAGAAGCUGCAGAAGGCAUUUAUGGCCCGGCCUCAGAAGCCACAGAGCAUUGCUUCAGCAGUAUUCUCCUGGCCCUGCAGGUCAGCCCUGCUCAGCGUGGAAGGCAAAAAUAACCAGAUGCAAGAUUCUCUGGGCGCCAUCGUAGGUCAACCACCAUACCAACUAGGAGCUCCUAUUCAACCUCCAAAGCCCGAUUCAGAUGUUACCUCCUCCAUGAAGCUUGGUUUAUCCCUCAGCCUGCUCCCCUCACCCACCACACCCACGGCAGGACUGUCUCCAUCCGUGGGCCCCUACACAGCUUUCUGCAGGCCUCUACUGUCCUCUGCUUCCUCGGCUCUUUCCUACAGUUACCAGUGGGGCCUUUUACACACAGGCCAUGGGGCCCUGUGAUCAAGUUUGGGGUUUUGUAAACAUCUCCUCAAAGCCUGACACCAAGGCUUUCUUGAUUGUUGAAAAGAAGAUGGGGAAAGCCAGCUCCAAAAGGAUUUCCAAAAUGAACCAUUAGAAUGGCCUCUUCCAAAAUGGAUUUACAUCGAUCCUAUUCACUCAUUUCCUCUCAUUUUUCCUCAUGCAUAAUGGCUUCUGAGUCUAAAGAACAAGCUAGAGAAUUAGGCCUGAACAUCCGAUCUCCUAUUAGAUCCAGCAGCCUGAGCCCGGAGGCCUGGCUGUGUGAGGCACUGCCCUGGAGGCCUUGCUGGACCUGGUCGUAUUUGAAGAGCUAUUACAGUUCUCUGCUCCAGACCAGCAUCUGCAUGAGAGCGAGGGCCGAGUCUAGGUUUCCUUACCAUCAUGCAUCUCUGCUCGGCACAGUACCUAGCACACAGGAGGCACUGAGGAGUAAGACCCUUGGCGACCCCUGCCUGGGCCCCCCAGACACCUGUUGUCUGCCCACCAUGUGCCAGCGCAGUGCCUCACGCCUGCCAAUGCGUGAAGCCCUCAGAGGCAAGAGCUAGACACAGCACUCCUGACAGUAAGCCCUGGGAGCUGGCCUGUGCCCCAGCUGUGUAGCACCCUCUGCCCCCUAAGAACACGGUCCCACCCUUCCCCUUGGGGUGGCUCAGAGCCCAGAACACUCCCAUCAUCAUCCACUCCAAAUCUCAUCGGCUGACAGAUGCCAGCCAGCAGGACAAUGGCCAGCAAACACCUUGUAGCCAAAGGUGUCAUGACUAGCUACUAUGGUUUCUCAAGCUUGCCCCUGGGAGGAAUAUUCCAUCCCUGCCAAGAACCAUGGGUCAGAGGCUUCACCCAUCAGUUGGGGGGCCAUCAAUUCUGCAGUGGGUUUGUCUUCAUAGUCACGGCUUGGGGCUAUCCCUGAAAUGUCCAGAAAGGAAAAGGCAACCUUAGUCCAAUGGGUAAGUCAGGGCAGAUCCUCACUGAAAAUGUGUUCUUCAUCUUAAUCUAACCUUCAUCCAGUCAGUUGAGCUCACUGCACACUCCAAGAGAGAUGAAGUCCUCUACCCUGACCGUACAGACCGUGACCCCAAAGUGUGCCAGCCACAUCCACCCAUCCCUCCCAGGAAAGGCCCAGCCUGCCCAUCUGCCCAGGUCUCUCUCUAGGAGUCUCCAGGCCCUUCCAGGCCAGGCCCUUUGCUUCUUAAGCCACAAUCCCUAAGAGAAGCUUCUACCUUCCUGAAGAGCAUGUGCAUUGUCGGGGAUGCCAGUCACAAGAGGAUGCCCACCACAGAGGCACUGAUGGGGAGUGGGAGUCAACGGGCUGACCCUCCAGCAGCCAUCCUGGUGAGCUCCACCCCACUCCCACUGCCUUCCAACUCGAAUGUUCUCACUGGAGUUCAUCAGAUGAAAACCCUGAGCCCAGGGUGGAAAAGCCUCUUAGGAGGUUAAUAGUGAAUGGAUGGAGCAAUAAACGUACUGAUUUAAUCCUUCAAGGGUGGCUAAACAGGCUGCUGUUUACCAAAGUCUUAGCAGAUAAUUACUAACGGAUAAUUACAAAAAGCUGCCGGAUUGCAGCUGCCCCAGAAAUGGCCACAGCCCCAGUCUACUUUGCCAAGCUAAGUAAAUGGGCUGAUUCCGCAGAGAAAUUCCGCAUAAGUCACUUUCUGGGAAGGACACCAGGCAACAAUUUCCACGCCACUCUCUUCUUGCUGCCUCCCUGGCCGAUGUCUGCCUCUGCCACCAAUGGAGAGUACCCUGGGUUAGAACCCAUCUCCCCGGAGCAACACCAUCGUGACUGUAACCCCAUUUCUUAAAUGGCCUGGUUCCCUUCUUUAUCUCCAGUUAGCAGACAGGAGGGGCAGGGACAUCUGCACGAGAGGCACUGUUCUGGCACAAGCUUUGAUGAAGGGGCUCAGACCUGAGCUCUCUGGGAAAGGACGGAGGGCACACUGAGGUGGAUGAAAAGGAGGCCCACUGCUCACCAGACCAAGAAGUUUGAGAAGCCCAACCUCAAAAGCGUUGUCAAGGGGCACCUGGGUGGCUCACUUGCUAAGCGUCUGCCUUCAGCUCAGGUCAUGAUCUUAGGGUCCUGGGAUCGAGCCUCACAUUGGGCUCCCUGGGAGCUCGACUGGGAGCCUGCUUC